GAUGAACGCUAGCGGCAGACUUAACACAUGCAAGUCGAGGGGCAGCGGGGGUAGCAAUACCUGCCGGCGACCGGCGGAUGGGUGAGUAACGCGUAUGCAAUCUACCUUAUACUGGAAAAUAACCCGGAGAAAUUCGGACUAAUGUUCCAUAGUUUAUUGUUUAGGCAUCUGAAUAAUAAUAAAGAUUUAUCGGUAUAAGAUGAGCAUGCGUAUCAUUAGGUUGUUGGUAAGGUGCCGGCUUACCAAGACUAUGAUGAUUAGGGGUUCUGAGAGGAUAAACCCCCACACUGGGACUGAGACACGGCCCAGACUCCUACGGGAGGCAGCAGUGAGGAAUAUUGGUCAAUGGACGAAAGUCUGAACCAGCCAUGCCGCGUGCAGGAUGACUGCCCUAUGGGUUGUAAACUGCUUUUUUAAGGGAACAAUAAGCUGUACGUGUACAGUGAUGAGUGUACUUUAAGAAUCAGCACCGGCUAACUCCGUGCCAGCAGCCGCCGUAA
rnacentral:rRNA from 1 species